rnacentral:misc_RNA from 1 species
AGGAAAAUAAACGAUCUCAACCCAAUAAAUGAAGAAGGAAUAAUGUGAUACUUUCAUGUUAAGUGUGAAUCCAAAAUCAAUUUAAAACAAUUAUUUUCAAUAAUUUAUGAGAGAUCCCAAAUAAUUUUCAAAGUAAUUUUUGCAGUCACAAAGUGGCAACACAAUUCAUAAAUAACAAAGCGAUUUCAUAAAGCAUAGCAAUUUAAAUUUUCAAUUGGAAAACAAUUACAUAAAUUUAUUAUGCAUAAACCUGACGUGAGUCGCCUCUAAGCCUUGACUUAGUCCUUUGUCCCUUUCGGGUCUUUUUCAGCUUCAACAUUAAUUGCAGAUCCAU